rnacentral:rRNA from 1 species
AACACGACUCUCGGCAACGGAUAUCUCGGCUCUCGCCACGAUGAAGAAUGUAGCGAAAUGCGAUACUUAGUGUGAAUUGCAGAAUCCCGUGAAUCAUCGAGUCUUUGAACGCAAGUUGCGCCCGAGGCUCCGGCCGAGGGCACGUCUGCUUGGGCGUCGCAC